CGCGCGCCCGGCUGCCGGCCAGACGCCGCCCCUCGGCCCGUCCGGGUCCCCGCCUGGGGGGCGCUCGCGGGGGGCUGACGUGCCCCUCUCGCUUGGCGUCUCUCCUGCGCGCCGACCGACUCCGGCCGUCAGGGAACCCGAGGGCCGCCCAGAGCGCCCGGCCGGGGGUCCGGCCGCUUCCCCCCGGAGGAGAGCGGGCGUUUCCCGCGCCCUCCUCGGCGGCCGGGUGGAGACUGCCGCGGCCGCCGCUCUGGAGAGGUUAGGGUACGAGUAGGUCGUGUCUGCCUGCCGGGCUCUCCUCUCCCUCAACGCCGUGCCCAGUUAACUACUGGCAGAUGCCGCUGCCACCACCGGAGAAAGAAGGAAACGACCCCCUGGCAUUGACUCCUGCACUGCCUUCUCCUAACUCGGCCUGAAUUCUCACACGUCGGACGCUGGCUGGCCACCGAGUUCGAACGCCAGUGCGGGAUCGUCUCGGCUACCGCGGUUCUUGUUUGAGAGUUUGAGUCGGCCUCAUCCCCGGGAACCGUAAAUUCCUCCAACGCGUCUGGCUUCUAACUAAUGUUUCUAAGCGAAGUUACUUGAAUCAACGUGGAUACUGGAAGAAUCUUUCUCAGGGAACUCUCCCUCAGGACUCGGGUUCUCUCUGACACGCCCCCUCUCCCCCAAAGGAAGUGCUUCAAAGGGACUGGUUGAGCCCUCCAUGGCACUGCGGGUGAGAACUCUCACACCUGCUGUGCACCCAAACUGAACCCAAGACACAGUUUCUUCAUUUGCUCAACGGUGCAACACGACACCAGAUAGACCAGCCUCAUAGAAUAGUGAGAGUGUCUGAGGGAUAUCUGGAGGGAUGUUUGAAAAUACACAGGAAAGCUAUUCUUCCCUCCAAACUCACAUUAAUACUGCUGAGAAGCUUAUCUGUUUAACUCGAUUAUUGAGGAAACCCCCGUGUCCUGGAUUUGAACUCCAAACUCCACUUCUGUACUUCCCAUAUCACAUGCUUGAUUCACAGAUAUAGGAAGUAGAUUACAGCAGGAUCAGCUGAAUCUUCUCUACCCAGAUCCACUGCUAUUUUAGGACAAACAGGUCAAAGAGUGUGGAACGCAAUUAUCUCUUGUAAAUAUUGCACUGUUUUUUUCUACACUUAAACCUUAAAAAUUUGCUGUUUCAGUAGAAAUACUCCUAUUUCUACUUGUAUUAUCCCAAUGAAUUAUUACUGAACUUUACGAUCUGCCGGAAAAAAAGGACGGACUCGAUGUUGAUACUGUUUUCCCAAACAAGGUUUCACUUCCCUAUAUUAGUAUUUCACAACUCUUUACCUCUCCAACUUAAUUGUAAAUACACAUGCAAAGUCCUGUCCCUCCCAUAGGUUCCUAACGUAGCUUGAUAAUUGUUCCAUCUUAUUUGUCUGGAAUAUACUGACUGAAAUGGGAUGCAGUAUCACCUCCUAACAAAUGGCAUCUAAUCCUCCUAAUCCCAGUAUCCUGAUGUUUCAUGAAAUCAUCCAGGCUUCACUCCUGCUCAGAUUCUCAGCAGGAAACCGUUUGAGCCUCUUCCUCUGCCAGGGCUGGAGUAACAACUCCAGGCAGGAGCUGUCCAGGUCAUUUAUCAACUUCACAGGACGUGGAAAUUUACAUGCUGGCUCUUUGUUUAGAUUUUUAUUUCCUGUUUUAAAAUUAAAGCACUGUUCUUGUUUUAAUUCUAAAAAAUGGAGUCAGUCAUUUUUACUCCAAACUAAGCUAACAACUCGGGAAUUUUACAAAAUCUGUUUGCAGAGGAAAAACUUGGCAAAUCAGUGUCAUUGUAUAUUAUUCGUAUAAUGUGGAAAUAGUUGUUUCAUAUCCCUGAUUUUGUAACAUAAUGAAGCCUUACUAACUGCAAAUUGGGCUGUUCAAAUGAACUAAUAUUGCAAAUUCCAGAGCACUUGAAGAUAGUCUUCAAGUAAACAGUAAUAAGUGUCUAAGCAAUAAAUAUAGCUAUAAAUAUACAAUAAUUUAUAAUACUUACAAUCUGAAUAUACAUAUAUAAAGCUCCAUCUGGCUGAUAAGCAGUACUGCCAAGAAAAGGUGCGAGAAUUAUUAAUUAUACUAUAUUACAAUAAUUAUUUUUACAUGAAUCAAAGCUCCAGCACUUUAAAAUAUCUUUAGAAUAUUCUUAUAUUUUUAUUUAUUAAUUUGGCUUAUUAAAAUUCAUUUUAGAUAAUAUAUAGUACAAACAUAAUGGCAUAUUGAAAAUUCCAUCUCCGUAAGAUCUGAAAUAUUGAGACUCUACUCUUGGUUUGCUGGAGGCAAUCUGAUUGGCCCACCGUGGUUUGCUGUGGGCAAUCUGAUUGGCUCAUAGACUGAGGGACAUGUUUGAAACUGCAUCACUUUUGCUUAGAGAGAGUGGGCAAACCUGGCUGGUUUGUGGGGGAGGCUGGGCUUACUCCUGGUUUGGGGAUCACUCCUACGUAGCUGGGGGAUCGUUCAAGCUGGGUAUUAAACCAGGGUCAGGUGUGAGCAAGGCAAGCACCCUAACCUGCGGGAUCACUCCCUAUCACAUUUUCAUUCUGCUUAUUUUGGAAGUAGCUGUCACUGGCUCCUGCUUCCCAAGGACACAGAGGACACAGAGCUCUUCACUUACAGGAGCUUCUACAGCGUCUGGACUUGUGUAUAAACAACCAAAUAGACUGGAGAGCAUGCAGCAGGUGUUUUGUGGGUCUGUCCAGCACCUCUCUCCGUCAUGUAGAGGCAGAUUCGUUCUGAGAAGCGACGGGCAGCUUUAAUUGUGACUUGGCAAUUCCUCGUCUUCAUUUGCAGUCCGUAUUCCAGAUUGUUAUCCCUGAUGCAGCAUCUUCGAAAUUGUUGAAGGCUCUGAGACAUCCUGCUUUAAUGAAGAUCAUUCCUCCAACUGUCAGUCGUGAAGAGAAUGCAAGAGCUUUCCCCAUAGCCUUUUCUGAGCGACACAGCACGAAAGAAUGUGGGUACCUCUCUAAAGUCAAGAAUGGCCUAAACUCCACAGAGUCCACUGGCAACAACAAUAACAUCAAAAUCGUUAUUUUGGGACAAGAUCUGCCCAGCCACCUUGGUUUUCCACUGUGGCAGCAAAGUCCUACGUCACUUAGUGCUGUCAGAUCUGAUCCAGUGAAAGGGAUCUCUGUCCCUUCUGUGAGAUGACAGAAAACUCCCACCUUCCCCACAGCUGGGAAUCCCCCCGCCUUCACCAAGGCUGCUCCCUCUUCCCACUGUUCCUCCUUGUUUUUGAGCCAGAUGGCUCUUUCCCAUUAAAGAGUCUAGAAGUUUUCUCACUUAUGAAAAGGUUAAAUUUUUACAUGCAUUGGGCUGGAGAGAUAGCACAGCGGGUAGGGCGUUUGCCUUGCACGCGGCCGACCCGGGUUCAAAUCCCAGCAUCCCAUAUGGUCCCCUGAGCACGGCCAGGGGUAAUUCCUGAGUGCAAAGCCAGGAGUAACCCCUGUGCAUCGCCAGG